rnacentral:misc_RNA from 1 species
GAUGAAGAACGCAGCGAAAUGCGAUAAGUAAUGUGAAUUGCAGAAUUCAGUGAAUCAUCGAAUCUUUGAACGCACAUUGCGCCCGCCAGUAUUCUGGCGGGCAUGCCUGUCUGAGCGUCAUUUCAACCCUCAUGCCCCUAGGGCGUGGUGUUGGGGAUCGGCCAAAGCCCGCGAGGGACGGCCGGCCCCUAAAUCUAGUGGCGGACCCGUCGUGGCCUCCUCUGCGAAGUAGUGAUAUUCCGCAUCGGAGACCGACGAGCCCCUGCCGUUAAACCCCCAACUUUCCAAGGUUGACCUCAGAUCAGGUAGGAAUACCCGCUGAACUUAAGCAUAUCAAUAAGCGGAGGA